CAUAGCGACUAUCGUGGCAUAUCAAUAAGCGGAGGAAAAGAAACUAACAAGGAUUCCCCUAGUAACGGCGAGUGAAGCGGGAAGAGCUCAAAUUUGAAAUCUUAAAGGGUUUCCCUUUACGAAUUGUAGUUUAAAGAAGUGUUUUCUGUUGGAGUUUCGGUAAAAGUUCUUUGGAAUAGGACAUCAUAGAGGGUGAGAAUCCCGUAUUUGACCGUUACUUUCCAGCUGUGUGAUACACUUUCAAAGAGUCGGAUUGUUUGGGAAUGCAGUCCAAAAUGGGUGGUAAAUUUCAUCUAAAGCUAAAUAUUGGCGAGAGACCGAUAGCGAACAAGUACCGUGAGGGAAAGAUGAAAAGAACUUUGAAAAGAGAGUUAAACAGUACGUGAAAUUGUCAAAAGGGAAGCGUUUGACACCAGUGUUGUUUAGUUGAAAAUCAAUUCAAUAAUUUUUGAUUUUGAGUAGUAUUGACUUCAUCAGCUUGCUGCUUUCUUUUCAGAAAUUAUUGAAUGCACUUUUCAGUUAACAAGUCAACAUCAAUUUCUUUUGUUGUAAAAGGGUAAGAGGAAGGUGGCUUACGCUUCGGCGUAAGUGUUUAUAGCCUUUUACCUCUGCAAUCGGAGAGAUUGAGGACAGCAGCGUAGACUCUUCGGGGUUAGAUACACUUGUGCUAAGCUAUAGCCUUGUAUAGACAACUUGUUGACUAUGCUCAGUCAUGUAGCUUACUCGCUUGUGCUAUUUUACCUACGCUUAGGAUGUUGAUAUGCAUGACUGAUAU
rnacentral:rRNA from 1 species